rnacentral:tRNA from 1 species
GGAAGGAUGCCAGAGUGGUUAAAUGGGACGGUUUGCUAAACCGUUGGUCUGAAAAGGCCGCGUGGGUUCGAAUCCCACUCCUUCCG